AUAUACUGAGUCAAAAAAGAAACUUCACAAAAUUCAUCGUGCAAAUGACGUUAGUGCCAAAUCAGGUUUGCACGUGCAGUCGAUCAAGUGAUAUUCGAAUCGAAGUUUUCUCCAUAUGCACAUGUUUGCAUUGGCCUCAAGAAUU